rnacentral:rRNA from 1 species
AUUGAACGCUGGCGGAAUGCUUUACACAUGCAAGUCGAACGGCAGCACGGACUUCGGUCUGGUGGCGAGUGGCGAACGGGUGAGUAACAUAUCGGAACGUAUCCAAUAAUGGGGGAUAACGAGUCGAAAGAUUCGCUAAUACCGCAUACGCCCUACGGGGGAAAGGUGGGGACCUUCGGGCCUGGCGUUAAUGGAGCGGCCGAUACCUGAUUAGCUAGUUGGUGGGGUAAAGGCUCACCAAGGCGACGAUCAGUAGCUGGUCCGAGAGGACGACCAGCCACACUGGAACUGAGACACGGUCCAGACUCCUACGGGAGGCAGCAGUGGGGAAUUUUGGACAAUGGGCGCAAGCCUGAUCCAGCCAUUCCGCGUGAGUGAAGAAGGCCUUCGGGUUGUAAAGCUCUUUCGCAAGGGAAGAAAACUUAGCCACUAACAUUGGUUGAGGUUGACGGUACCUUGAUAAGAAGCACCGGCUAACUACGUGCCAGCCGCCGCCGUAA